GUUCGAUUGAGCAACGCGUGAGUAAGAGGCUUCGGUGGUUAACUCGUUGGAGAAAGAAGUGUCCGCAGAGUUAUGUUGUCGCGUGAACGUAUCACAGAAAGGCCCACGCCUAAUUAUGUGGCCAGCAGCCGGCGGUAAAUAACGUAGGUGGCAAGCCGUUAUUCCGGAUUUAUGUGGGCGUAAAGCGAUGCGUCAGGCGGUUUUUUAAGUCUGAUGUGAAAGCCCGUCGGCUUAACCGAGGAAGCGCAUCGGAAACUGGGAAACUUGAGUGCAGAAGAGGACAGUGGAACUCCAUGUGUAGCGGUGAAAUGCGUAGAUAUAUGGAAGAACACCAGUGGCGAAGGCGGCUGUCUGGUCUGUAACUGACGCUGAGGCUCGAAAGCAUGGGUAGCGAACAGGAUUAGAUACCCUGGUAGUCCAUGCCGUAAACGAUGAAUGCUAGGUGUUGGAGGGUUUCCGCCCUUCAGUGCCGCAGCUAACGCAUUAAGCAUUCCGCCUGGGGAGUACGACCGCAAGGUUGAAACUCAAAGGAAUUGACGGGGGCCCGCACAAGCGGUGGAGCAUGUGGUUUAAUUCGAAGCAACGCGAAGAACCUUACCAGGUCUUGACAUCUUUUGAUCACCUGAGAGAUCAGGUUUCCCCUUCGGGGGCAAAAUGACAGGUGGUGCAUGGUUGUCGUCAGCUCGUGUCGUGAGAUGUUGGGUUAAGUCCCGCAACGAGCGCAACCCUUAUGACUAGUUGCCAGCAUUUAGUUGGGCACUCUAGUAAGACUGCCGGUGACAAACCGGAGGAAGGUGGGGAUGACGUCAAAUCAUCAUGCCCCUUAUGACCUGGGCUACACACGUGCUACAAUGGAUGGUACAACGAGUUGCGAGACCGCGAGGUCAAGCUAAUCUCUUAAAGCCAUUCUCAGUUCGGACUGUAGGCUGCAACUCGCCUACACGAAGUCGGAAUCGCUAGUAAUCGCGGAUCAGCACGCCGCGGUGAAUACGUUCCCGGGCCUUGUACACACCGCCCGUCACACCAUGAGAGUUUGUAACACCCGAAGCCGGCGGCGAGACCCAUCUAUGGCUCAGGACAUGACUAUUGGGGGCCCCUC
rnacentral:rRNA from 1 species